rnacentral:rRNA from 1 species
AGGAGUGGAGCCUGCGGCUUAAUUUGACUCAACACGGGACACCUUACCAGGCCCGGACACCGGAAGGAUUGACAGAUUGAGAGCUCUUUCUUGAUUCGGUGGGUGGUGGUGCAUGGCCGUUCUUAGUUGGUGGUGCGAAUUGUCUGGUUAAUUCCGAUAACGAACGAGACUCUAGCCUGCUAAAUAGGCGUUAUUACCGGUAUCCUGAAGGCUCGUGGCUCUCGUUUUCUGUCGUACUUUCGCUGUGGCGUAUCAUCGUUUAGGCGGUGUGCGUCGCACGGGGUAUGUUCAGUGCGGGAGUUCACGGUUUUUACUACCGGCGUACAUAUAAUUCUUCUUAGAGGGACAGGCGGCUUCUAGCCGCACGAGAUUGAGCAAUAACAGGUCUGUAAUGCCCUUAGAUGUUCUGGGCCG